rnacentral:rRNA from 1 species
GACGUAGGGCGCGAGCGUUGUCCGGAUUUAUUGGGCGUAAAGAGCUCGUAGGCGGCUUGUUGCGUCGACUGUGAAAACCCGCGGCUUAACUGCGGGCUUGCAGUUGAUACGGGCAGGCUAGAGUUCGGUAGGGGAGACUGGAAUUCCGUGGUGUAGCGGUGAAAUGCGCAGAUAAUCAGGAGGAACACCGGUGGCGAAGGCGGGUCUCUGGGCAACAACGUGACGCUGAGGAGCGAAAGCGUGGGGAGCGAACAGG